rnacentral:rRNA from 1 species
UGAAACCUACGGGACGCAGCAGUAAGGGAUAUUGCUCAAUGGGGGAAAGCCUGACGCAGCGACGCCGCGUGAGGGAUGAAGGUCUUCGGAUCGUAAACCUCUGUCAGCAGGGAAGAACGGUCACUGUGCUAAUCAGCAGUGAAUUGACGGUACCUGCAAAGGAAGCACCGGCUAACUCCGUGCCAGCAGCCGCGGUAAUACGGAGGGUGCGAGCGUUAAUCGGAAUUACUGGGCGUAAAGCGCUCGUAGGCGGUAUGUCAAGUCAAGGGUGAAAUCCCCGCGCUCAACGUGGGAACUGCCUUUGA